GGAACAUUGCUGAGUGGUAAAUCACUUGCUUUGCAUGCCAGAGGUCCCAGGUUCAGCCCCUGACAUCUCCA